CGGAGAGGGCGCAUGAGAAACGGCUACCACAUCUAAGGAAGGCAGCAGGCGCGCAAAUUACCCAAUCCUGACACAGGGAGGUAGUGACAGGAAAUAACAAAGCAAGCACCAAUGGUGUUUUGCUAUUGGAAUGAGUAGAAUUUAAAUCUCUUUUCGACUAUCAAUUGGAGGGCAAGUCUGGUGCCAGCAGCCGCGGUAAUUCCAGCUCCAAUAGCGUAUAUUAAAGUUGUUGCGGUAAAAAAGCUCGUAGUUGGAUUUCUGUUGCGAAUGGCCGGUCUUCACUACGUGAAUGUAUCUGGCUCAAUCGUGGCAUCCUCAUAGGAAACGUUGCUGCGCUUCACUGCGUGGUGCGGUGCCUAUGACUUUUACUUUGAGGAAAUUAGAGUGUUCACGGCAGGCAAUCGCCCUGAAUAUGUUAGCAUGGAAUAAUAAUAUAGGAUCUUGGUUCUAUUUUGUUGGUUUCUAGAGCUAAGAUAAUGGUUAAUAGGAACAAUUGGGGGCAUUUGUAUUAACAUGUCAGAGGUGGAAUUCUUGGAUUAUGUUACGACAAACUACUGCGAAAGCAUUUGCCAAGGAUGUUUUCAUUGAUCAAGAACGAAAGUAAGGGGAUCGAAGAUGAUUAGAUACCGUCGUAGUCUUUACCAUAAACUAUGUCAACUCGGGAUGUAGCGUCGUCCUUUUUAUGACUCGCUGCGCACCGUAUGAGAUAUCAAAGUUUUUGGAUUCCGGGGGGAGUAUGGUCGCAAGGCUGAAAAUUAAAGGAAGGGACGGAAGGGCCACAACAGGAGUGGAGCCUGCAGUUUAAUUCGACUCAACACGGGAAAACUCAUCAGGUCCAGACAUAGUGAGGAAGGACAGAAUGAUAGUUCUGUCUUGAUUGUAGGGGUGGCAGGGCAUGUCCGAUUUUAGGGAGUGGAGUGAUUGGUUAGCUUAAUUACGGUAACGAACGAGACCUCAACAUAUUAAAUAGACCAUCCUAUCAUAAGAUAAGGUGCUGUUAUAUUAGAGGGACUCUGUUCAGGUCAGGGUAGGGAAAUUUGAGUAUAGAUCAGGUAUGUAAUGACAUUAGAUGGUCUGGGCUCCACGCGCGCUGCAGCGAUGCGUUCAACGAGAGUAAAACCAGGCCAGGCAGGGUAGUGUAAUGUUCAGAACUCGCAUCGUGAAGGGGAUAGAUCAAUUCAAAUUUUAAUCUUCAGAGAGGAAAUUAUAUUAAAUUGAUCUCAUCAGAUUGGAUUGAUUACGUCCCUUCCCACACUACACACCUCCCGUCGCUUGUACGGAUGGAGUGGUGAGGUGAAUAGUUUGGCACGACACCGGUAUGGGUUCAGCUCAUCUUGGCAAAGGAAAAUAGAGUUAACCUCAUCGAGGAGAAGAGAGAGA
rnacentral:rRNA from 1 species